AGAGAUUGGAAGCCCACACUCCAGGAAAGUCACAAGAGGCUCUAGGAAAAGAACAGCGGUGGAAGAAUCUUGUAGAUAAAGAACGAUAACAGAAAUCACUGCCCAGGAGGACUGGAAGGAAAUAAGACAAAAUGCUGCCUUUAGAUGUCUGGCCAGGAAGAAGAUCUACAUGUUCUUGAAAACAUCACAGGAGAAAUAAAUGUGAAAGAACAUCAGGGGAAGAUGGACUCAUGUCUUGGAGUAAGAUCUUGCAACUUUGUCAUUUUGUAGUUUGUGUCUCUUGGUGGAGGAGAUUCCAUCCACAGCCAGUGGUGGUGACCCAACACUGUUGGGCCAUUCCUGGUUCCCUUGCUGUGAGUGUGACACAGGGUGCUGGUCCGCUCUGGCUGAAGGGAAGAGGGUCAUGAAUGGAGAGCAAGGGGAGGCAGAAGGGUGGGCCAGUGGGAUCCGGGAGAGCCCCAAGGAGCUGGGCAACCAAAGCCAAGAGGAGCACACCAACUGCCCAUGGGCUAAGGUCAGAAGUCUGGGGAAGCAAAAAAAAAAAAAAAAAAAAAAAAACAAAAAAAAAACGGGGGUUCAGCAAGGGGCACACGGAUACUCAAAGCAGAGGGGAAAUUCUACUUAUGGACCUUCAUGGCAUUCCAAAAUUAGUUAACCCCUGGGAGAGGCUAAAUAUUGAGUUUUUCUCCCUGUCCCUCUGGCCAACUGUCUUUUUUACGGGUCCCCGUUAGCCCCAUUAUAGCUCAACCCACCUCAUUCCUUUCCAUUCUGUUCACCCCACUCUGUGCCAAGCGCUGCUUGGCGACACCAGAGGACUGUGUGUUGGGAUAAGGAAGAAACAAGGUAAACGUAUUAUAUGACUAGUGCUGUCCUUUGGGCAGGGGCAACAUGGUAGCUGAUGGGCUGAGGCAGGCAGGAAAGGCUUCCAGAGGAGCAGGUACUGAGCUGGGUCCUCAAGGACACUGUGAGCAGCUUCCCAGCACAUCUGAGAGAGGAGGGCGAUUUCUGGAAAAUACAUAAGAGUGACGGAUGCCCCUGCCAUGCUCCUGGUGGAUGUCAGCUUCUGAAUUGCAGGUGUGUUCAGAGGAGAUCUGGGGCCAUGAGGCUACCACACAGGUGGAGUGGCCUCCAAAGGGCAUUGACUGACCUGCUGAGGGAUCUGUAAUGAGGGGGAGAGACAGGUCUGAUUUGAACUUGGCAGUGGGUGUCCAUGUGGGACAAUAUGGAGAGGUACCUCUGUUAUCCUCGGUAUUGUGUCUUCAUUUGGGGGAGAAGAAAUUCUAAAUUUAUCAUUUAAUCAGAUGACUUUAGAAAAGUAGCUAUCUAGGUGCUGAGAAAAUUAGUUCAUUCAUUCAUACUUCAUUUAUUCAUUCAAAACAAUUCUUGUACCUCAGUUUAUAUUUCCUACUGCUUAAAUUUCUGUGGUGUCUACACAGAUUGUUAAGGCAUUGUUCUAAUCUCAAGAACCUUAAAAACAGAAGGAGGGGAAGGUGAGGACUAACCCCAUGGUGUUAACCCAUAAACUGAGCUGGUCACAUCACCACCUCACCACUACUUAAAAUGUCCCAGUGGGUUUCUAUUUCUCUCAGGAAAAGUACAAACUUUUAUCCAGGCCAAAACAUCCCUCUAUGGCCUCACCUCCUGAGACCCAUCUCCUAGCACCUCCCUUCUUUUCCCUCCAUGCCAGCCUCAUUGUCCUUCUUUAUGUGGUCCUUACCAGACUGUCUUCAACCACAGGCCCCUAACACAUGUUGUUCCCUCUACCACUGUCAUCUCCCUGGGUUCAUGUGCACUCAUCCUUCUAAGUGCACAUCAAUGCUGCUUCCUCGGGGUAGGCUUUCCUGGUCUAUUUAAAUUGACUCCGACCUUAGUACACAACUCAUACUCCAUAUAACAUCCUUCAUAAGUCUUAUCCCAGUCACAAGAAUUUUUCAUUUAUGUACAUGAUAACUUUAUUAAUAUCUGUAUUCACCAGACUGUAAGCUCCAUGAGAACAAGGGCUGUGUCUUUCCAAAAAAUCAACUUUACUGAGGCAUAAUUUUUGUACAACAAACACACCCACUUCACACGCACAUUUCAAUGAGUGUUGACAAAUUUACACAAAAAUGGUUUCACUGUGUAACCACCAACAUGGUCAAGAUGUGGAACAUUUCCAUCGCCUCAAAAAGCUCCUCUGUGCCUCAUCCCAGUCAACUCUCUGCUUUGCUUCCUGUCUCUAUAGAUUAGCCUUUUCUAGAGUUUCAUAUAAAUGGAACCAUGCAAUAAGCAUUGUUGUGUCUGGCUUCGUCCAUUCAACAUAAUGUUUUUGAGAGUCAUCCUUGUUGUUGUAUCAGUGGUUCGUUGUUUUUUGUUGCUGAAUACUCUUCUCUAGUUGGUUCAUGGAAGUUACCUGUGUCUCUUCAGGUAAGCCUUUAGCUCCUUAAGGACAGAGGCCACAUUCUUUGACACCUCUGAUACUUGGUGUCGGCCUAGGCACAUAGGAGACCUUUGGGAGUAGCAGAGUCCAUCUUCCCUGACCCAGGGCAUGGGAGUGGCCACUCUGUACCCACAUUCAACAGUCACCCUGAUACUCACAGUCUUCCCCUCCAUGCCCACAGGCUGACCUUCUUGGCCCAGGGCUCCCAAGCACAUAUACCUCCUUCAGAAUCAGUCUGAUGCCUCUCACAGCAAUGCAGAGAAGUCCUGGGCCAGCCACAGCAGUUAGGGGGCAAAGCUGGGAGAUCACAGGCAAAUCAGAUCCCUCUGACACUGGGCACAUUGAUUUCCUUAACUGCCAAACAGAGACACUGCUGUCUACCUCACAAGGCCACUAAGUGGGCACAUGUGUGUGAAAGUGCCACUUGAAGUAGAAAACACAAUACUACACAGUAAGAGUGAAUUUAAUCAUUUAAUGGAAUUAACAAUGGCCUGUGUUACCUGGGACCCCUUUUCCCUCUCAGGACCUUCAAUUUCUUUACCCAUCAGAUGAAAAGUUGAGCUAGAGUUCCCUAAGAUGCCUUCUGUCUUGAACCUUCUUGGAUUCUAAGGUGCUGGAAUAUGAGAGAAAGGGCCUGAUGAUCCAGAAUUAG